rnacentral:rRNA from 1 species
UACGUAGGGUGCGAGCGUUAAUCGGAAUUACUGGGCGUAAAGCGCACGUAGGCGGCUACUCAAGUCAGAGGUGAAAGCCCGGGGCUCAACCCCGGAACUGCCUUUGAAACUAGGUAGCUAGAAUCUUGGAGAGGUCAGUGGAAUUCCGAGUGUAGAGGUGAAAUUCGUAGAUAUUCGGAAGAACACCAGUGGCGAAGGCGACUGACUGGACAAGUAUUGACGCUGAGGUGCGAAAGCGUGGGGAGCAAACAGG